rnacentral:rRNA from 1 species
UACGUAGGGGGCUAGCGUUGUCCGGAUUUAUUGGGCGUAAAGAGCGUGUAGGCGGCCAUGUAGGUCCGGUGUGAAAACUCGAGGCUUAACCUCGAGAUGUCAUCGGAAACCAUUUGGCUAGAGUCCGGAAGAGGAGAGUGGAAUUCCCGGUGUAGCGGUGAAAUGCGCAGAUAUCAGGAGGAACACCAAUUGCGAAGGCAGCUCGCUGGGACGUUACUGACGCUGAGACGCGAAAGCGUGGGGAGCGAACAGG